GGUAGGGUUGACAGGGAGGAAGGGAGAGAGAGAAUGGUGGAUAGUUGGAUGGAUCGGAGGAAGGUUGGAAGGAAGGAAGAAUUAAUGAAAGAUGGGUGGUGGGUGGAUAGGUAGGUAGAUGAAUUGGUAGAUAGAUGGUGGAUGGAAGGGUUACAGGCAGGGAGGAAGGGAGAGAGUACGUUGGAUAUUGGAUAUAUGGAUAGUUAAAUAUGUUCCUGGGUUUGUAGUUUGGUAGAUGGAUUGAAGGGUGGCUGCUUGGUGAAUGGACAGGUAGGUUUAAAGUACAUAGACUGGUGGAUUAGGGGAGAGAGAGAUAAGGAGGAAGAAAGGAAGAUGGGUGGUGGGUGGAUAACUAGGUAGAUGAUUUGUUAGACAGAUGUCUGGAUGGAAGGGUUUACAGGCAGGAAUGAAGGCAGGAAGCGAGAGAUAGAAAGGUGGGUAAGUGGAUGGAUGCAUAGAUAUGGUCCUGGGUUCAUAAAUUGACAGAUGGAUUGAAGGGUGGGUGGCUGGAUGAAUGGAUAGGUAGGAAAAAAUAUAGAUAGGUGGGUAGGUUCAUUGGAAGGAAAGGAGGGAGAUAGAAAGGAAGAAAGAAUGAAAGGUGGGUCAUUGAAUGGGGAGAGCGGAGGAGAAAGAGAGAGGGAAAGAAAGGUGUGUGGUGGAUAAGUAGGUAGAUGCAUUGGUAGAUUGAUGUAUGCAGAUGUUUAUACGUAGGGAGGAAUGGAGAGAGAGAAAGAACGGAAGAUAGAGAAAGGUGGAUAAGUGGUGGAUGGAUAGGCACAUACCAGGGUUCGUAGAUUGAUAGAUGGAUCGAAGGGUGCACGGCUGGACAAAUGGAUAGGUAGGUAAAAAGAUGGAUGGGUGGGUGGAUCGGGAUGGAGGGAGAGAGAGAGGGAGAGAGAAAGUAGGAAUAAAGAUGGGCUGGUGGAUGCAAAGGUAAUUAUUAUGGGUUGGUAGAAACGUGGAUGGAUGGAAGGGUUUAUAGCAAGAAAGGGAGGUAGUGAGGAAGAAAGAAAAAAAGAUGAGUUGUAGGUGGAUGAUGAGUUGGUAGUUGGAAUGAUGGAAGGGGGAGAGAG